rnacentral:rRNA from 1 species
UCUGGUCCAAUUAGAGGAAGUAAAAGUCGUAACAAGGUCUCCGUUGGUGAACCAGCGGA